UACAGAGACUGCGAGCGUUAUUCGGAUUCGCUGGGCGUAAAGGGUGCGCAGGCGGCCGAGUGUGUGAGGCGUGAAAGCCCGGGGCUUAACCCCGGAAUUGCACCUCAAACUACACGGCUAGAGCAUUGGAGAGGGUAGCAGAAUUCAUGGUGUAGCAGUGAAAUGCGUAGAUAUCAUGAGGAAUACCAGAGGCGAAGGCGGCUACCUGGACAAUUGCUGACGCUCAGGCACGAAAGCGUGGGGAGCGAACAGG
rnacentral:rRNA from 1 species